rnacentral:tRNA from 1 species
GCCUGUGUAGCCCAGUCAGUAGAGCACCAGACUUUUAAUCUGAGGAUCCAGGCUUAAAGUCCCUGUUCAGAUG